GCAAACUUUGUAAGGCUAUAUUUUCCGUAUUUUGCAACAAUUCGCAACCAAACCUUGCAAUAAUUUACUUAUUUUAGUAUGCUCUUUCUAGCUGUGGUGAUUUAUUUGCAUCAAGGCCGGAUUUUGAGGGAAGUGUGGAGAGGUGCGCACCUCCCCAGAGAUCGUCCCCUGAGAAUUGUUCCACCUCUCUUGAAAGGUCAUGCACUUGCCCUUGGGAAAGUUUCAAUGAUGG